AGAGUUUGAUCCUGGCUCAGGAUGAACGCUAGCGGCAGGCCUAACACAUGCAAGUCGAGGGGUAACAGUUCCAAGCAAUUGGAAGCUGACGACCGGCGCACGGGUGCGUAACGCGUAUGCAACCUACCUUUAACUGGGGGAUAGCCCGGAGAAAUCCGGAUUAAUACCCCAUAAUAUUCCGAAUGGGCAUCCAUUUUGAAUUAAAGCUUCGGCGGUUUUAGAUGGGCAUGCGUGGCAUUAGUUAGUUGGUGAGGUAACGGCUCACCAAGACAAUGAUGCCUAGGGGUUCUGAGAGGAUUUUCCCCCACACUGGUACUGAGACACGGACCAGACUCCUACGGGAGGCAGCAGUGAGGAAUAUUGGUCAAUGGACGCAAGUCUGAACCAGCCAUGCCGCGUGCAGGAUGACGGCCCUAUGGGUUGUAAACUGCUUUUAUAUGGGAAGAAACCUUUCUACGUGUAGAGAGCUGACGGUACCAUACGAAUAAGGACCGGCUAACUCCGUGCCAGCAGCCGCGGUAAUACGGAGGGUCCAAGCGUUAUCCGGAUUUAUUGGGUUUAAAGGGUGCGCAGGCGGAUUUGUAAGUCAGUGGUGAAAUCCCCCGGCUCAACCGGGGAACUGCCAUUGAUACUGCUAAUCUAGAGUACAGUUGAAGUAGGCGGAAUGUAGCAUGUAGCGGUGAAAUGCAUAGAGAUGCUACAGAACACCGAUUGCGAAGGCAGCUUACUAAGCUGUAACUGACGCUCAGGCACGAAAGCGUGGGGAGCAAACAGGAUUAGAUACCCUGGUAGUCCACGCCGUAAACUAUGAUUACUCGUUGUUGGCAAUAUAUCGUCAGCGACUGAACGAAAGUAUUAAGUAAUCCACCUGGGAAGUACGAUCGCAAGGUUGAAACUCAAAGGAAUUGACGAGGGCCCGCACAAGCGGUGGAGCAUGUGGUUUAAUUCGAUGAUACGCGAGGAACCUUACCUGGGCUUAAAUGUUAGACGACAGUUUCGGAAACGAAAUCUUCCUUCGGGACGUCUUACAAGGUGCUGCAUGGUUGUCGUCAGCUCGUGCCGUGAGGUGUCGGGUUAAGUCCCAUAACGAGCGCAACCCCUAUUCUUGGUUGCCAUCAGGUCAUGCUGGGGACUCUAAGAAAACUGCCUACGCAAGUAGUGAGGAAGGUGGGGAUGACGUCAAAUCAGCACGGCCCUUAUGUCCAGAGCUACACACGUGCUACAAUGGCCGGUACAGAGGGUCGCUACCCCGCGAGGGGGAGCUAAUCCCAUAAAGCUGAUCGUAGUCCGGAUUGGAGUCUGCAACUCGACUCCAUGAAGUCGGAAUCGCUAGUAAUCGUAGAUCAGAACGCUACGGUGAAUACGUUCCCGGGCCUUGUACACACC
rnacentral:rRNA from 1 species